AGCGAACGCUGGCGGCAGGCUUAACACAUGCAAGUCGAGCGGACCUUUCGGGGUCAGCGGCGGACGGGUGAGUAACGCGUGGGAACGUGCCUUCCGGUUCGGAAUAACCCUGGGAAACUAGGGCUAAUACCGGAUACGCCCUUAUGGGGAAAGGUUUACUGCCGGAAGAUCGGCCCGCGUCUGAUUAGCUGGUUGGUGGGGUAACGGCCUACCAAGGCGCCGAUCAGUAGCUGGUCUGAGAGGAGGAUCAGCCACACUGGGGCUGAGACACGGCCCAGACUCCUACGGGAGGCAGUAGUGGGGAAUAUUGGAAAAUGGGCGCAAGCCUGAUCCAGCCAUGCCGCGUGAGUGAUGAAGGCAUUAGGGUUGUAAAGCUCUUUUAUCCGGGACGAUAAUGACGGUACCGGAGGAAUAAGCCCCGGCUAACUUCGUG
rnacentral:rRNA from 1 species